AACCCAUGAUCAGGGCACCUUCUCAAUAAAUCUUUAAAUCUCUCUCAUGCAUCAUAUAAUGUCUUCAAAUCAAUUUGAGCAAAAGAAGAGAUGUCAUUCGUCAGCUU
rnacentral:snoRNA from 1 species